AGAGCGAACGCUGGCGGCAGGCCUAACACAUGCAAGUCGAGCGCCCGUAGCAAUACGGGAGCAGCAGACGGGAUAGUAACACGUGGGAACGCGCCCUUCGGUUCGGAAUAACUCAGGGAAACUUGAGCUAAUACCGGAUACGCCCUUACGGGGAAAGAUUUAUUGCCGAAGGAACGGCCCGCGUCCGAUUAGCUAGUUGGUGAGGUAAUGGCUCACCAAGGCGACGAUCGGUAGCUGGUCUGAGAGGAUGACCAGCAUCACUGGGACUGAGACACGGCCCAGACUCCUACGGGAGGCAGCAGUGGGGAAUAUUGGACAAUGGGCGCAAGCCUGAUCCAGCCAUGCCGCGUGGAUGAUGAAGGCCUUAGGGUUGUAAAGUCCUUUUAACGGGGAAGAUAAUGACGGUACCCGUAGAAUAAGCCCCGGCUAACUUCGCGCCAGCAGCCGC
rnacentral:rRNA from 1 species